rnacentral:misc_RNA from 1 species
CACCUAAAAUAAAUUCAUUCCAGAAUGUGCUGAAAGAUUGGACCAGAAUAUACAUAUGCAUAAAUAUAUGUACGUUAUGAUUCACUACUUGAAUCACAUUUUCAGAGUCAGAACCAGUCAGAACAGCCUGGAACAGUCAUAGCCGGUUGUAGUCGGUGUCCUGAAGGUUACAGGAAAGUUGAGGAAAGUACUGCAGUGACUUGGGAGUUAAAAGAUAUUUCAGAUUAUUGUCUGUUUUUUUUAUUUUAGACUUUUAUACUAACUGAAAAAAAAUUAUAAACUAAAGACAAGGUGAAUCACAAGUUUGUUAAUAAGAGAGGUUAAAAGAUUUUUUAAGACAAUGGGAGAUAAUACAUUGCCCGAUGACGAUACCAUUACAUUGGUCCUUUGUGAUAAUCGUAUUUUGGCAUCCAAAAAAAAACUGGCUCGUAAGAGUCGCUAUUUUCAAUGUUUAUUCUCUAAGAAGUUCUGUGAUUCUACUCAAAAGGAAUUUGACAUUAAUUAUGAUUUCCAGCCGGGAACAUUACAGGAUUUUGUUGAUUGGACAAGUAGCAAUGAAACAACGCAAUUCGAUGAUGGUCACACUAUUAACAAAAGUUUAUUAAAAUAUGUCCAUGGAUCAUUUACACCUCUUUUGACUUUAUUAGAACUUGGUUUUACCUUUAUGGUGGACAGUUUCAUCAGCGAUGUAAUGGACGUAUUAAUCCACCAUUGGUUGGAGCCUGAAAUAGUAAUCGAUCUCUGGUUAUUAACUCAGGAAAUGAAUUACACAAAACUGAAAGAUGUUGCAUUUGCCGCUUGCCUAGACAGAUUUAUGGAAAUUCCAAUGAAUGCUCUGUUAAAGUUACCAAAAGAAAAAUUUCUACAGCUGAUUAGAAAUGUUAAUAUUAGAUCUACAGCCAAUCAUUUACACUCUGUGACAAAAGCAUGGAUUGAAAAGAACAAUGACGGAGAGAAUUUGACGAGUGAAAUUUCGAAUCGAACAGAACGUUUGAAAAAGGCGAAGGAACCUGUCAUAAGAUACAAGGACACUUCAGGGCAACUUUAUAAAGAAGGCCGUUAUGGCUAUGUAUCUGCUGGAAAUUGCGAGUGGAGUUCAUACGAUCCAUUUAGAAAUGAAGAAAUGGCAUUUGCAUGUUCAUUAUUUUUGGAACCUGUAGUAGUGGAUGUAUGCCUAGAAUCAACAGACAUAGACAUAUUGUCUUUGGAAAUUACUUCUGAAAAUUUGAAGAACAAGGAGAGAUGGAAUCUUUAUUACUGGGAUUAUAAGAAAUCGUGUACUGUUACAUAUGAGUUGAACAAUAUAACAGUUCCAUUUGAGAAAAUCAAGGGAAUGGAAGUUGUAGGACGAGGAUUUAGUAUAUAUUUUGUUGGCGGAGUAUACGAUUCCAGCCGUUCGGAUUUGGAAAAAUUUAAUAUGGAUAUCUGGCGAUAUUGUACAUUGUCCGAGAAGUUAUACUAUGUGGCAAGACUGCCUCGUCCCCGUAAAGAUAUGCUAGCCUUUUUCAUGGCAAACAAAUUAAUGUUAUUGGGUGGUUUGGGAGAGAAGAAAACAGUACUUACGACUAUAGACGUUCUAAAUAUACAUACAGGAGAAUGGACACAAGCUGCGGAUAUUCCAAACCCACCACUUCCUUUUGAAAAAGUUGGAGGUCCUCCUGGGAUUCAGAGCUAUGUUUAUACGUAUCACCAAUGUGAUAAUAAAUGGUCAUCAUCUGAAGGUAUUCCCUCUAUGUACCUGAUAAUGAGCUUUAUACCAAAUGAAUUUUAUGUGGGUGCCAAUGAGUACGAAUGGCCUUCAACUGCUCGUCUUCUAAUGACCAGAGAACGUUUCGGGAAUUAUGGGACUAGUACAGUGCAUCCUACUGCGAGCAUACCAUAUUGGCAGGAUACUUACUACUUAAAUCUUACAAAAAGUGCAAUUUAUGAUGUACUUCUAAAUGAAGAAGGUGUCCCAGAAAAAUGCGUUACAGAAGAAUUUGGGAAGAAGGAGCUGAAAUAUCCUACACGGAACGUAAAAAUUCUUAACCCUGCCUCUUUGUAUCGUCAAGUUACACAUUAAUUGAAAAUUCUGCAUCGCCUGCGUGGAACGUAUCCGGCGUUUCUAUCGAAACUAAUGGUGCCGAACCAUUGUUUCUGCAAUUACAUAGGCAAGUUUGGAAUAACCUUGCAACUUGCAAAAUCUUACUAUAAGUGUAGUUACAGCUACCAGAUAAAUCUUCUAUUUUACAGUGCUUCAUAUAAUUCAUAUUCCACCUCAUAUGGUUAAUAUUACCAUUCCAAAUGUUGAUCACUUCUGCACCAUUUAAGCGCAGCACCAUGGAUACAGUACCUAUCGACAAGAUGAUCGGUUUUAAGUGGGUUCUCAAACAAGGAAGGUAGAAUAGAAGUACGUCCAGGAGUACCGCGAAGAGUCCAACGUCACUUGGGGACCAAUUGCGAGUAAACGACGACUUU